GGGGCGUGGCCAACCCGCUCGGCCGCGCCCCGAGCGCAGCUGAGCCCGCCGCGGGGACGCGGUGGCCGGUUCUGAUUGGGUCGGUGCUGGUGCCGCGUUUGUUCGGUGCGUUCCCCUGUGUGUCUGGUUGGUGUUGGUGCCUCGGUUGUUUCACGGCAGCGCAGCCGAGCCCGCAGCGAGGACGUGCUGGACACGGACGGGGCGUGAAGCUCCAGCUCCAGCCUGUGCAGCUUCAAGCCUGUUUGCGGUUCCAGCUCCUCUGCAGCUGCUUCUGGUUCCAGUUGUUCUGCAGCUCCAGCUCCAGUUCUGCUCCAGCUCGUUGUGCUUGUUCCACUGAGCUUGGCCUUGGGCCAGAUCGUAAAUCAAUCACUGUCACAAGCUGCCUAGGAAUAUGACACAUGAAUAAAUAUGAACCAAUUAUCUAAUAA